UACAGAGGUCUCAAGCGUUGUUCGGAUUCAUUGGGCGUAAAGGGUGCGUAGGCGGCGCGGUAAGUCGGAUGUGAAAUCUCGGAGCUUAACUUCGAAACUGCAUUCGAUACUGCCGUGCUUGAGGACUGGAGAGGAGACUGGAAUUUACGGUGUAGCGGUGAAAUGCGUAGAUAUCGUAAGGAAGACCAGUGGCGAAGGCGGGUCUCUGGACAGUUCCUGACGCUGAGGCACGAAGGCCAGGGGGAGCAAACGGG
rnacentral:rRNA from 1 species